GAAAUGCGAUAAGUAAUGUGAAUUGCAGAAUUCAGUGAAUCAUCGAAUCUUUGAACGCACAUUGCGCCCCUUGGUAUUCCGAGGGGCAUGCCUGUUCGAGCGUCAUUACACCACUCAAGCAUAGCUUGGUAUUGGGCGUCCGUCCCCCUCCCCGGGGGGCGCGCCUCAAAGACCUCGGCGGAGCCUCACCGGCUUUAGGCGUAGUAGAAUUUAUUCGAACGUCUUUCAACGGAGAGGACUCCUCAGCCGACAGAAACCUUUUAUUUUCUAGGUUGACCUCGGAUCAGGUAGGGAUACCCGCUGAACUUAAGC
rnacentral:misc_RNA from 1 species